GCUGGGCGUGGUGGCUCACACCUGUAAUCCCAGCACUUUGGGAGGCUGAGGUGGGUGGAUCACCUGAGGUCAGGAGUUUGAGACCAGCCUGACCAACAUGGUGAAACCCCAUCUCUA
rnacentral:SRP_RNA from 2 species